GGAAGUAAAAGUCGUAACAAGGUUUCCGUAGGUGAACCUGCGGAAGAUCAUUAAAAAAUGAGCCUCUGAUUUAAGGGUCUAUUAAUAAUCCUACCUUUGCGAAUUUGUUUGUUUUUUAAUUUGCGUCUUUCCCUGUUUUUUGAUGGAGCUGUUAAAAAGCAAAAUCAAAUGCAGGGGAAUGGCAAAACCUUUUUUAAAAUUAAACAUUUGUAUUCAUUCGUCUAAAAUUAUUUUUAUAAUAUAAAACAACUUUUGACAAUGGAUCUCUUGUUCUCGCAACGAUGAAGAACGCAGCAAAAUGCGAUAAGUAAUGUGAAUUGCAGAAUACGUGAAUCAUCGAAUCUUCGAACGCAUAUUGCGCUUUUUUGGUUUACCAAAAAGUAUGUCUGUUUGAGUAUCAGUAAAAUAUUCUCAUAAAAACUUUUGUUUUUAUGGUUAUGAGUGUUUUACAACGAUAAACAAGUUGUUUCACUUUAAAUUCUUUGUCUUUUAAAAAUCAUUUAAAAACUGAUUUUUUUUAAAAUUGGAUAAAAUUUUCCCGUAAAAAGGAAUAACCUAAACAAUUUAUAAAAUGAAUUAGUUUGAUUUUUUAAAAAAAGACCAAAAGGAAAAAAAAGUAAAAAUUAACUUGAUCUCAAAUCAGAUAAGAGUACCGCUGAACUUAAGCAUAUCAAUAAGCGGAGGAAAAGAAACUAACUAGGAUUCCCUCAGUAACGGCGAGUGAACGGGAAGAGCUCAAAUUUGAAAUCUUCAAGUUCUACCUUGACAAUUGUAGUUUAAAGAAGUGUUUUCUGUUGGAGUUUUGGUAAAGUUCUUUGGAAUAGGACAUCAUAGAGGUGAGAUCCCGUAUUUGACCAUUAUUUCCAACUUUGUGAUACACUUUCAAAGAGUCGGAUUGUUUGGAAUGCAGUCCAAAUGGUGGUAAAUUUCAUCUAAAGCUAAAUACUGCGAGAGACCGAUAGCGAACAAGUACCGUGAGGAAAGAUGAAAAGAACUUUGAAAAGAGAGUUAAACAGUACGUGAAAUUGUCAAAGGAAGCGUUUGACACCAGUGUUGUUUUCUCGAAAAUCAAUUAAAAUGGUGGGAUGUUGUGUUGUAUUGACUUUAUCAGCUUUCUGCACUUUUUUUCCUAUCUUUUUUAAUGCACUUUUCGUUUAACAAGUCAACAUCAAUUUCUUUUGUUGUAAGAGAGUCAUUGGAAGGUGCUUUCUUUUCGGAGAAAGUGUUUAUAGCCUUUGGCUUCUGCAAUCGGAGAGAUUGAGUCUGCAGCGUAGAUCCUUCGGGUUAGAUAUUUGUGCUAAGUUAUAGCUUUCAUAGACAACUUGUUGACUAUGAUCAGUCAUGUAGCUUACUCGC
rnacentral:misc_RNA from 1 species